rnacentral:rRNA from 1 species
GACGAACGCUGGCGGCGUGCUUAACACAUGCAAGUCGAACGAGUGGCGAACGGGUGAGUAACACGUGGGUGAUCUGCCUUGCACUUCGGGAUAAGCUUGGGAAACUGGGUCUAAUACCGGAUAGUGCAAGAUGAGCUCGCGGCCUAUCAGCUUGUUGGUGGGGUAAUGGCGACGAAGGCGCGACGGGUAGCCGGCCUGGGAGGGUGUACGGCGACAUUGGUACUGAGGGACGGCCCAGACGCGUACGGGCGGCAGCAGGCGCGAGUAUUGCACAAUGGGCGGAAGCGUGAGGCAGCGACGCCGGGUUCGUGAUGAAGGCCUUUGGGUUGUAAACUCCUUUCGACAGAGACGCGGUACCGGUAUAAGAAGCACCGGCUAACUACGUGCCAGCCGCCGCGGUAAUUC